UACGUAGGGUGCAAGCGUUGUCCGGAAUUAUUGGGCGUAAAGAGCUCGUAGGCGGUCUGUCGCGUCUGCUGUGAAAACUCAGGGCUUAACCCUGAGCUUGCAGUGGGUACGGGCAGACUAGAGUGCGGUAGGGGAGACUGGAAUUCCUGGUGUAGCGGUGAAAUGCGCAGAUAUCAGGAGGAACACCGGUGGCGAAGGCGGGUCUCUGGGCCGUAACUGACGCUGAGGAGCGAAAGCAUGGGGAGCAAACAGG
rnacentral:rRNA from 1 species